ACACCCUAACAACGGUAAACUAAACGACGCUCCUCGUUCGCAAACAUUCCCUACCGCCACUUUCGUCUUUUGCCGCCAUUGCGCUCUCACGGCCGCUGGCUCUUGGUCCUGUAUUUCUGGAACAAACAAGAUCUGUUCAAUCCCUAUGGGUGAUUAACGCAGUUCCUGCAUUCAGAGGCUACAUCUAAGAUCAAGAUCUGCCACUGAUUCUGAUGCUGCCAAUGCUUAAUUUUUGCUUUGUCACAUACAGCAUUGGAGUUAUGGUAUUCCCAUUUUUUUAUUAAUUGUUUUGGUUGUUGGUGCUGCUGCUGCUGCUAAUAUCUUUUUCAUGCUUAAACCUACCAUUCAGACCUAAGUCUUACACCUGUGGUAAUAAUUGACUUAUCCUGAGCAUCAUCUUUAGCAGUACCUUUUAGAAGA